rnacentral:rRNA from 1 species
AUGGGCAUCAUGCCCCCCUCCAAGCCGCGGCGCGGCGCUGGGGACGCGGCGACGACGCCCGUGCUCGUCUCCGUCGACGUCGCCUGGCGCCGCGGCCGGCUCCGGCUCGACGGCAUCCUGCGCACCGUCAUCACCCUCGGCUGCUACCGGUGUGCUGAGCCAGCUGCCGAAGGCGUAUUCGCGAAUUUCUCUCUCCUGCUGACAGAAGACCUGGUGGAGGAACCCGACGUAGUCGACCUCGGCACCAUAUAUGAAGAAGACAGAACUAAAUUCCCUUCGAUAACUGGCAGCGAGGACGAGAACAAUGAAGAACAAUGA